AAGUGCUGGCCUUACCUUUGCAGCUUCAUAUCUCUAUAAAGUAGCAUACUCGCAGAAGGUUUCUGUAGGUUUCUUCUUGGGAUUUUGAGUAUAGAAAACGUCUGGUAUAUUUUCUAUGCUAAAGCAGAAUCGAUCCAUGAAGUUUCACUCCAUGCUCACCCAUUAACCCACUUUUUUGGGUUCUGACUUAUAUAUCAAGACAAAGGACCUCCUGUGAGGCUUGCCAUGGACAACUUCAUACAAAUUUGUCAUCUUUUCCAACUGCUACAAGUUUGGCACAAUAUGUUCUUAGAUGCACUUUCGGAUCACUAGUUCUAUUGAACAUUUCAAACUUGGGAGGUUUGUAACCCUCCGGUAAUUCUACAUCUGAUUGAAUGCACAAGUCCUCAUAAUUCAAACCUUCAAUUCCCUUUCCACCUUUGACACUCUAAACUCUGCCAUUGAGCUUCUUGAGUUCUUCUACCAUGUUCUUGAUGAGCAUGUUCUUCUUGGUGGAUUCCGGUAUACGUAGGGUUUUUUUGGGGUGUUGGAUAAAGUUUCCACAUAUAUGGGAUUGCUUUGAUAGACUCCGGGAAUCUGGGCAUAAUGGUGGUCAUUGGUUGAUUUUUGGGGAUCAAAAGUAGGUUGCAGUGCAUUUUGAGGAGUGUAGUAAGUGAUAGUUUGUGGGUAUUGAGUUGGAUGAACAUGGUGUUAUUGAGGAGUAGGUACUUGGUGCAGGGUUAUGUUUCUAAGGAGAUGUGGUGUGGGAGGGGGGAUGAUGAUGGAGUUAUUGAGGAGUAGGUACUUGGUGUUGGGUUAUGUUUCUAAGGAUAUGUGGUGUAUUGAUGUGGUGUGGGAGGAUUCGGUGGUGGAUUUUGG
rnacentral:lncRNA from 1 species